rnacentral:lncRNA from 1 species
AUCGAGCAUAUAUGGGACACUUUUGUGCGUGAAGUGCACGAAAGGACACCCCAGUUCAAACACGUCAUGAAAUAAACAAUACCUUUCGUCAGGAAUGGUUGCUGCUACCUUAGCAACAAAUUAGUCGACUUAUGGCAGGAAUCAGAAGACGUUAAGAUUCGGUUAUCCGUUUGAAUGGAGGCUGUGCACAAAGUACUAAUUCUUUGGCGUAUAACGAUCAGCCAUGAU